rnacentral:rRNA from 1 species
GAUGAACGCUGGCGGCGUGCCUAAUACAUGCAAGUCGAGCGAACAGACGAGGAGCUUGCUCCUCUGACGUUAGCGGCGGACGGGUGAGUAACACGUGGAUAACCUACCUAUAAGACUGGGAUAACUUCGGGAAACCGGAGCUAAUACCGGAUAAUAUAUUGAACCGCAUGGUUCAAUAGUGAAAGACGGUUUUGCUGUCACUUAUAGAUGGAUCCGCGCCGCAUUAGCUAGUUGGUAAGGUAACGGCUUACCAAGGCGACGAUGCGUAGCCGACCUGAGAGGGUGAUCGGCCACACUGGAACUGAGACACGGUCCAGACUCCUACGGGAGGCAGCAGUAGGGAAUCUUCCGCAAUGGGCGAAAGCCUGACGGAGCAACGCCGCGUGAGUGAUGAAGGUCUUCGGAUCGUAAAACUCUGUUAUUAGGGAAGAAGAAAUGUGUAAGUAACUAUGCACGUCUUGACGGUACCCAAUCAGAAAGCCACGGCUAACUACGUG